GAACCGACUCAGAAAGCUCCGAAGCAAACUGGAGCUUACCAACAAUAGCUGUAUGACCUGGCUCCUACUUGUGCGGUGUAUGAGCUGAGGUACCUGUGCCUGCAGCAUGAAAUGCAGGUCCCCCGUGAGGGACGUCAGUACGAAAUAUGUACUGAGUAUGUAAAGCUGUAAAUAAUCACAUAUGAUAUAGGAGCUUAAUAGAAAUCAGAAACAAGUGAAUAAGUCGUAAUAGGAGUGGACCACACUUACUAGAACUUGUGACAACCUGUACAUUGUAUUUAUUCAAUCACUUUACCUUCGUUCUUAUCGUCUUUGUAAUCAUUACUGUACUGUACUGUGACCAUUAGGAUGCCUCCAGUACAUAUCAACUGGGAUCGACCCAUGCUAGGCUUAUGCCCCUGGGAUACCACCCAUAAACACAUGAAAUAGGGAUCGACCCAUGCUAGGCUUAUGCCCCUGGGAUACCACCCGAUAAGAGAGAACUCCCAUCACUUAGUUCAAUUAAUCUUUGAGAUUGUUAUUUCGGUCGCCACCACAUUUUUGAUACUUUGAAACAAUGAUACAUCAAUAGGAACCAAGUAAUAGACCUUCUAUACAAUAACGAUGUAAUAAAGACUCAUUGGUACAUCAACAAUGUGUUUCAGAAUCAUCAAUAUCACAACAAUGAAAUAAGAGCCUUUUGGUAUAUCAAUGAAACAUUUUGACACUUUAUAGAAUGGAAACAACUUCGUUGGUAACGUAGAACAAUACAUGUUUUUGGACAACCUCGGAAUCUUACUUGAUGGAACAUUGGUGUUUUCAUGCCAAAGAACAUUGUUAGAGUAUGCUUUACAUACCUCGUUGUAGAUUCAGAUACCAAUUCAACACAACUUCCCGCCUUUACAAAUCACUUAUCUACAAUGAAAUGUUUGGCAUCUAGUAUUAGCAACCCAACACCACAAUUCUCUUCCAUAAUUCCAUACUACCAAUAUUUGCAAAACAUUCCAAAAACCAACUUGAACAAUAGGUUUAUGUGUGUAUAUAUAUAUAAUCAUCAUUUCAAUACCACAUCAUCAAUACCACAUCAUCACCCCAAAUUCCUUCACAAUUUAACAUAAUCCAACCAUGCACAAGAAUAAUCCAACAUCAUUUCCAAUCAUCUUUCAACAACAAUCAAAUAACAUACUUCUUAUGCUCACAUGCAUAUAUAUAUAUACAUAUCCAUAUAAAUAACACCAACAUAAUUUACAUCCUUACCAAAAAAAUGGCCCUUUUGAUUUCGAAGUCCUGUUGGCACAAAUAAGGGGUGCUUCUCGAAGCCCUUGAGACGGUGAACACAACUACGGAAUCAAUUUGGAUUUUCUACGGUUGAAUCACAAGAUAAUUGGAGUUGAAAUUUGGCUAGGGUUUCUUAGUUUUCAAUAAUGGAUGAUAAAUAAUGGAUAUGAGGCUAAGUAUAUGUAUAUAAUGACCAAUUUUCGUUCAAGAGGUGAUGGAAAAUGACCAUAUUGCCCUUAAAAAUUUAAGUAAAUCCGAAUCUGUCCAUGGUGGACUGUUUUGAUAGGCUAAAGUAAAUCGGCCAUAACUCUUUGCUCCGAUAUCGGAUUUGGGUGAAAUUGGUAUCGUUAGAAAGAUAAUUCAAAGGUAUUUCAUUUAAUAUAAAUUAAUCCACCCAGUUCGUCCUGUACAAGUAGUUAUGAUCGUUUGAAGUUGACCCUAAAAAUCUGUUUUGAGAGGCUGAAGUAAAACGAGUAUAACUCCUUACUCAGAUGUUGGAUUUGGAUGAAACCAAUUUCAUUGGAAAGAAGACUCAAAGAUCUUUCUUUUGAUAUAUGGUAGCUCAACCAGUUCAUUAUAUUGAGGGAGUUAUGAUCGUUCAAAGUUGACCCAAAAAACUGGCAGGCCUCAGUAGUUUCCUGCACAUUUUACUGUUCACAUCCCGGCCACCGUUUUAAAGUUUCGAACGAGCUCGCUUAUAUCCGAAACUUAUCCGUUUUUGGAAAUCUUUAUAUCGUUGGAAAGCUUAUUCAAUAACCUUCGUAUGGAACCAUCGACGGGAAAAUUCCGAUAUAAAUAAAGUCGAUUCCUAUACACCUAUAAUCAAACUAUACACUUGAAACCAUCUCAAAAUAAUCAAUACUCAUACUUAAACUCAUAUAUACCUAACUUAGGAUCAAUACAUAUACCCCAACACAUAUAACAAUGACUAAUGCACGUAAUUAAGUACGGGGUGUUACAUCCUUCCCCCCUUAAGGACAUUCGUCCUCGAAUGUGAAUGUAGUUAUUUAGCCGAAACAAGUUCAAGUCCACCAUUAACAUUCACAUCAUCACAUAAAUACUAUGCAUAUAUAAACAAAAACUUACUUGUUAAUGUUCUAACUCCGUUUCUUGAACUUCCUCUUCAUCUUUGAACAAAUGAGGGUACUUAGAUUUCAUUGCUUCCUCAGCUUCCCAUGUAAUCUCUUCCCUUUGUUGAUUUCUCCAAAGUACCUUUACUGAUGCCAUUUCUUUGUUCCUUAACUUUUUAACUUGGCGAUCUAGAAUAGCAACCGGUACCUCUUCAUAAGUAAGAUCCUCUGUGACCUGUACAUCUUCUAUAGGAGUGAUACGAGAGGGGUCACCUAUGCAUUUUCGAAGCAUUGACACAUGAAACACUGGAUGAACCAUUGAAAGUUCCUGGGGUAGCUCUAAUUCAUAUGCAACUUGUCCGACCCUCUUGGUAAUCUUAUAUGGCCCUAUGUAACGUGGGCUUAGUUUCCCUUUUUUACCAAAUCUCAUAACCCCUUUCAUUGGUGAUACCUUUAAAAAUACCCAAUCUCCAAUAGAGAAUUCCAGCCCUCUUCUCCGAAUAUCUGCAUAUGAUUUAUGACGACUUUGGGCUGUUUUUAGCCGUUGUUGUAUCACCUUGACUUUUUCUAUGGCUUGAUACACAAGAUCCGGUCCGAACAUAAGAGUUUCACCCGCUUCGAACCAUCCUAUUGGUGAUCUACACUUUCUCCCAUAUAAAGCUUCAUAUGGUGCCAUUUUGAUACUUGAAUGAUAGCUAUUAUUGUAGGCAAACUCAAUAAGAGGUAAAUGAUCAUCCCAGCUGCCUUUAAAAUCUAUAACACAUGCUCGUAGCAUAUCUUCAAGUGUUUGAAUGGUGCGCUCUGCUUGUCCAUCCGUCUGAGGGUGAAAAGCUGUACUCAGAUUCACUUGUGUUCCCAAACCCCGUUGGAAAGACUUCCAAAAGUUUGCAGUAAAUUGAGUUCCCCGAUCCGAUAUAAUAGAAGUUGGCACUCCAUGUAAUCGGACUAUUUCUUUAACAUACAGCUUCGAAUAUUCUUCAACUGUGUAAGUGGUCUUAACGGGUAAGAAAUGUGCGGAUUUAGUAAGCCUAUCCACAAUCACCCAUAUAGAAUCAAAUUUUCGAGCUGUACGAGGCAAACCUGUAACAAAAUCCAUGUUGAUCAUGUCCCACUUCCAAAUUGGAAGAUCUAUGCAUUGCAUAUAGCCUCCGGGUUUUUGGUGCUCAACUUUAACUCUUUGACAAUUUGGACAUUCAGCUACAAAUUCUGCAAUGCUCUUCUUCAUGUCAUUCCACCAAUACAUAUCUUUCAAAUCUUGAUACAUUUUGGUUGAUCCUGGAUGAAUGGAAUACCUUGAAAAAUGUGCCUCUGUCAUAAUCUUCUUUCUUAGCCCGUCUAUAUCCGGCACACACAAUCGGUUUUGGCACUGAAGUACUCCUUCUCGCGUAAGCUCAAAUGCCUUGGUCGCACCACUCUGAACGUUCUCCUUAAGAUGUAAUAAAAUAGGAUCUGCAUAUUGCUUCUCUUUCACUUCAGCUACUAAUGAAGAUUCCGCAGCAUUAUGUACGAUAAGCUCUUUAUUCGGAGUUUCAAGAAGGCGAACUCCCAAACUAGCUAACUGGUGAAGAUCUUUAACCAUCCCUUGCCUUUCUAUAGGCGCCAUCAUAGCCUUACGACUUAACGCAUCAGCUACCACAUUUGCUUUCCCUGGAUGGUACAAGAUAUCAACAUCAUAGUCCUUUAAUAGUUCAAGCCAUCUCCGCUGCCUUAAAUUUAGAUCCUUCUGAUUAAAAAUAUAUUGCAAGCUCUUAUGGUCAGUAUAUAUAUCAACGUGAACCCCAUAUAAGUAGUGGCGCCAUAUCUUUAAAGCAAAAAUAACCGCUGCCAGCUCAAGAUCGUGUGUAGGAUAAUUUUUCUCAUGUGGCCGUAAUUGUCUAGAAGCAUAUGCUAUUACCUUACCAUGCUGCAUCAAUACACAUCCUAAACCAAUUCUGGAAGCAUCACAAUACACUGUAUACCCUUCGGUGCCUUCUGGUAGUACCAACACGGGUGUAGAAAUCAACUUGUUCUUUAAAUCUUGAAAACUCUUCUCACAGGCAUCAUUCCAUUGGAAUUUGGAUGCUUUAUGGGUUAGCUUGGUUAAGGGUGCUGAAAUGGAAGAAAAGUCUUUGACAAACCUUCUAUAAUAACCGGCCAACCCAAGAAAACUACGAAUCUCCGUAGGCGUUGUGGGCCUUGGCCAGUUCUUCACAGCCUCUAUCUUUUGAGCAUCAACCUUUAUCCCUUCACUAGAUACAAUAUGACCCAAAAAUGCCACCGACUUUAACCAAAACUCACAUUUAGAGAACUUUGCAUAAAGCUUACAAUCACGAAGAGUCUGCAAUGCCUGUCGUAAGUGAUUGGCAUGGUCCUCUUCUGAUCUAGAAUAAACUAGAAUAUCAUCUAUAAAAACUAUCACAAAUACAUCCAGGAAUGGCUUAAAAACCCUAUUCAUCAAAUCCAUAAAAGCUGCGGGUGCAUUUGUUAGCCCAAAUGACAUAACUAGAAACUCAUAAUGACCAUACCUUGUUCGGAAAGCUGUUUUGGGUAUAUCUUUGAAAGAAACCCAUGAAUGAACAUCCACAUACCUUAAUAGAUGAUUUCUUGAAGAUUUCUUGAGGGUUUCUUGAAUUUGAAGCUUGAGUUCCUUGGUUUUUUAGGGAGAAAAAAAUUGAAAUUGGUGAUUUUGAGAAAGUGGGAAGGGUUUUCUUGAGAUGGAUUUAGAGAAGAAGGGCAAAUAAUGCUCUAAAUGAUGUCUCAAUUCGUGUUAUGCAUGAUUUGGGUUGAGGGGAACAGACACAAUUUCCCCUCAGGCAAUUAAAUUCAUAACUGGGCAUAACAUACUUACCGCAACGCGGUCUAAUUGAAGUCAUCCAUUUCCCUUACCGCAACGCAGUGAGCAUGCAAAUGGAAAUAUUAAAGCGACGCAGCCGUAUCGCAGUGACUUUCUGGAUUUGUGAUCCAAACAUGACCGAAACCUCAUUCAAAAAAUUUGAAACUUCUCUAAGACAUGCUCCUUACAUCCCUGAAUAUGAAUUAACUCAAAAACCAACACCUUAGGAUCGGGAAGACCAAUCGAAAAAUCCUCGAAGUUAAGAGGACUUAUAAAUGACUAAUUCCCCAACACUUAGUGAAAUUUUUAGGCCUUAAGCCCCUUAUGCAUACAACUAGAAGAUGAACUGACCUAAUAAUAAUAUGGGGUAUUAUAGAAGUGCUGAAAGAAAGACUUAAUCAAAUAAUAAUUAAGCUAAGAAAAAUAGAGAACUUAAUCAAAUGGACGAGAAACCAGAUUGAAUCCAUAAUAUGAUAACUUAAUGAUAAAUCAAGUGAAGAAGAUAACACAAACAAUUUAGAAAGACACCCUAAUCACUCAAUCUAAGCUAACAAUUGAAAUUGAACCCAAUUACUGCCCUAAUAUCGAAUAACUAAAUAUCAAUUCUAUUCAAGACAAUUCACUUUUCCAAAUCUAAGUGAUGAAAAUGGAUAAAGAAACUAUUUAUAGUCAGUGCCUUUACAGAAAAAGUCUAUUACAAAAAUCUCCCUAAUGUGACCAUUUUACAAAUAACUCACAAGGGACCUUCUUAAUUGGCCAAAUGGCAUCUUGAUUGCCAAUGACCUUAUGUAUCUAUUUCUUCAUGCCUUCCUUCAAACUCCAAGAUAUCAUCCAUACAUGGAAGACCCUCCUAAUAUGUUCCAAGCUAAUCAUGAUCCACUUCAUCAAAAGAAUUCAUCCACGAAUCCAAACUUUUUUAAAAAAUGAGAAGGAAAAACAACAAACAUAUCAUCGUAGCAUGAGGUUUAACACAAGGAUUAUCAAUAACAAAUUUAUGGCCAUGCCAAGGGUGUACACAUUUAACAUAUAACCAAGCAAAAAAAUGAGUCAUAAAUGGUUUGUCACCCAACAAAAAUUGAUAUACUUGGCUACAUAGGAAACAUUGACAAAGGGGCAAAUCAAAAGAACCAUGGUGUUUAGGCAACCACUGAUACAAGUCCUCAAUGGUUCUAAAUUUAGAAAAAAAAAUCUCCCUUUAAGUCAUGUAACACAUGAUAACCCAUAUAACUAUGUUUCAUGUCAUAAAUGAGGUCAUUCCAAGUCAAUACUCUAUCCAAUGCACUAACUAUCUUAAAGAAUAGAAUUACUCCUAAUUCAUCAUUGGAGAUUAAAUACGAAGGUAUUCUCUACAUAAUUUGGCAAAUAUAUCUUAUUAAACAUAUAAGAUCAAGUAAUAACACCAAGCAAUAAUCAUAUGAGAGAAAAAAUAUGUUACUACUAUACUUACCACCACGCAAGCCAACAACCUCACCCACAACUUUCUUGUCAUUUGAACCAAGUAUUUUAUCACAAACGCCACUAUUCAAAUCAUUACCAGGACAAAAGGAAAAGGCAAUCCAUAAACAUGGGUAAAAUCAUACACCUAUUUGCCCCAUUGACACUCUACUCUCACAUAACAUACUCCACUCAAAGGAAAGAGUAUCAUCAUAUGCAAAAAAAGUGGUAUAGAAAGGUGUUACUUAAAUAAAGUUUAUUUAAGGUGUGCCCACAUAUAGAAUCACCCUUUGAUCUACAAGCAUUAAGCCCUUGAUCAAGCAUGGGUUCACACAAGAAUGAAUAGGUCAUUGGAGAACAUACACCCCCUUCUUUUGGACCACUAACCCCUCCAAUUGACAAACUAUCAUCUUUUAAGAAGAGAGUUUUGUCUUUAAAAAAUGUGUCAUCAUACCAUAGUGGAUUUUUGAUCACUUGUGUCACGCCCCAAAAUCCCAUCGGGCCGGACUGGCACCCGAAGCCGAGAAGGCCCGGGAGAACCCGUUCAAAUACCUGUACUUUCACUUACAUGUCACCAAAAAAAUUGGACAGCACUUCGUUGCAUAUAGAAAGGUCUAAUUACCUGUAUCAGCACAACACGCACAAAUAUAUAUAUAUAAUACUUGGCCGUCGGGGCCACCACAUAUACAAAUAUAACGUUACUAUAUAAACUUCCAUGACUUUACCCUUCCUUAUGUCUACAAAGCCUCUAGGAUAUACAUGACAUAACUAGGGUCGGGACAAACCCCCGCCCACACGUGACUCAUGUACAAUAACAAAACAUAAGGAACCGACUCGGAAAGCUCCGAAGCAAACUGGAGCUCACCAACAAUAGCUGUAUGACCUGGCUCCUACUUGUGCGGUGUAUGAGUUGAGGUACCUGUGCCUGCAGCAUGAAAUGCAGGUCCCCCGUGAGGGACGUCAGUACGAAAUAUGUACUGAGUAUGUAAAGCUGUAAAUAAUCACAUAUGAUAUAGGAGCUCAAUAGAAAUCAGAAACAAGUGAAUAAGUCGUAAUAGGAGUGGACCACACUUACUAGAACUUGUGACAACCUGUACAUUGUAUUUAUUCAAUCACUUUACCUUCGUUCUUAUCGUCUUUGUAAUCAUUACUGUACUGUACUGUGACCAUUAGGAUGCCUCCAGUACAUAUCAACUGGGAUCGACCCAUGCUAGGCUUAUGCCCCUGGGAUACCACCCAUAAACACAUGAAAUAGGGAUCGACCCAUGCUAGGCUUAUGCCCCUGGGAUACCACCCGAUAAGAGAGAAC
rnacentral:lncRNA from 1 species